rnacentral:rRNA from 1 species
ACGAACGCUGGCGGCAUGCCUCACCCAUGCCAGUCGAACGAUCCCUUCGGGGAUAGUGGCGCACGGGUGCGUAACGCGUGGGAACCUGCCCUUAGGUUCGGAAUAACUCAGAGAAAUUUGAGCUAAUACCGGAUAAUGUCUUCGGACCAAAGAUUUAUCGCCUUUGGAUGGGCCCGCGUUGGAUUAGCUAGUUGGUGGGGUAAAGGCCUACCAAGGCGACGAUCCAUAGCUGGUCUGAGAGGAUGAUCAGCCACACUGGGACUGAGACACGGCCCAGACUCCUACGGGAGGCAGCAGUGGGGAAUAUUGGACAAUGGGCGAAAGCCUGAUCCAGCAAUGCCGCGUGAGUGAUGAAGGCCUUAGGGUUGUAAAGCUCUUUUACCCGGGAUGAUAAUGACAGUACCGGGAGAAUAAGCCCCGGCUAACUCCGUG